GCGGUACCUCGCAGACCUCUCAUCAUGCCUUGAAUUCUCAGAAAGCUCCUGGUCAGCUAGGGGGCUCUUAGAGUAGGAUUGUACUAGGUGACAGUAGUUUUUGAAUUGUAUGGAUUUAAAAUACAGUUUGAAUAAUGAUACAACAUAAAAUGACGAAAACCCAGAAUGUGCUGUCUGGGAAUGGAAGAGGGCAAGGUCAAAGCCACUGAGGCUGCAUUUAUUACGCGAGGCACCUGUCUCCAGUAUUCCUGCCUCAUAUUAAGCUCUGCAUUUCCAGAUUCCCAGAUGGGAGGCAGGCAGAGCCAUCGAGGUGAUUAGUUCAAGCACCAACCUUUUAUCCCACUGUUUCUUUCUCUGUCCUCACCUUGAGGAUGCGUGAUCACGUUCUCAGCACGCUUUGGAAGUGUGCCCUAUUAAGAGAAAACUCACUUCCUACUUAGCAACUCUAAAACCCAAGGGUACUUAAGUUCACCAUUCUUCAAAAAAAGCUCUUUUCUUGAAGUUUAGUAUUCACAUCUAUAUACUCCAGAAAUUAGAAAAUUUGCUUGUCACCACAGUGACCACAUUUUUCAUAGUUUUAUCCUAGAAAAAAGUCGGAUUCUGUAAGGGAUGAAGAUGCUCACAAGGUAACUGUAGAAAGGGAACCACGCUUCGUCCCACCGUCCUGCGAACACAAGCAAACGUUCUUGUUGCUAGUGUUAGAAAAGAAGCUAAGACAGCAUGUUUCUUCACUGUUGAGAGAACAGUACCUUCUGACAUGGUGGAUGAGCACCUGCGUUCAGUGGCCCGGUUUUACCCAACAGCCACCCGAGGCUCCGUUCCUGGGGACUCCAGGUGAGGCCAUCAUGGCGGAGGACUGUGACCGAGGGAAGCAGCUCACACGAUGGUCAGGAAGCAGAGAGAGAGGUCUCCGCUUGCCAGCAACUCAAUGAUGAUGAUACGAGCAGUUAAGGGCUGCAGAGUCUCAGGAAUGUUUGCCCUUAGUUAAUGAGUGGCUUUGCCAAGAGUGGUAGUGUGUCCUCCAAGAUGACGUGCGUGAUCCCACCAAAAUCGACCCCAGAUGCUUCUGACCUGUGUCUGGCCUCAAGAUGUUCCUCGCCUGGUGUCCGGGGGAGCUGUCUCCAGUCUGCCCCCUGCCGGCCCAUGAGCCAGCCGUGGCAAGUCACUGACCGGGAGCUGAUCCCCAGGCUUGGAAGAGGGUCUCGGGGUCAGGUGGGCCUAGACCUUCCAGAAAGCUGCGGCCCCAGCAUAUUACCACCCACCAGAUCGUCUCCACAGAAGGGUGACAGAGCAGUUUUGUGCCCACUCCGUCUGAGGGCUGCUUUGCCUUAGGUGGGUCACCAUCAGAGUCUCAGGUUGAGAUGAGUAGGUGGGCAGCAGACAAACCAAGCUGCACCAGGGCUGGCCGUCUUCUCCCUCUUGCCGCUCAGUCCUUCCGUUAUCUUGACUCUUGAAAUCAGAUAACCUACUGAUUUCAAAGAGAGAUGCGUUUGGUUCUGCUGUGAUGAAAAUCCGGUGCUCAUGGAGGAUAGCUACUUGUUUAGUGUUUUUACUUUUCAUUUCUGUUUACCAUGUUCACUGGAUGACCAGAUAUCAGUUAUUCUCAUCAGCGCAUUUUGGAAACUUUUAUUCAAGUGAAGAAAAUCAGGUUAGAAAAGAGAAUAAAAGUCAUGAAUGCUCAUUAACUGGCAUCAGUGUUGUACAGUGAUCAGCCUGAGUGCCUGUCAGUGGGCUCCCAAGUCAGAGCUCCUGCAGCGGGAAUCUGCAGGGCAAGAGCGUGGGUGCCUCUGUGUGCAAUAUGUCAGAAGACACUGCACUGUCCUGAAUAUCCAAAAAGAACAAACAAAAAAAUAAAAUAUAAAUGAAUCCUUAGGAAAAAGAAUUCAUGAAAGGAACAUAGGUGCGUUUUUACACAUGUACAUACACACACACACACUCAAGGGGGGGCAUUUACUUUGUGAAAACAAGUGUAAGUUCUUUCUGUUCCUGUUGGAGUUUAAGUUUAGUUUUAAGAAGUGAAAUAUUUUCCUCAAUUUUCAAAGACGUGGGUUCAUCAGAGAAACCUUAAAGGUCACAAAACGUUUGACUACCCCCGAAAACGACACAGAUGACGUAUCUCCACGCACACGGGGAAGCAUAUUUUGUGAUUUUCAAAUUGUGGAAAUCUCUUCCCCAGACUUUGCCCCGAAGCCUUCCAUCCGAUGUUGCCAAUAUAAGAUAUGAUCUAACCAGAGAAACACCAGUAACUGAAGUGAUUAGAUGGUCAGCGAUCUCAUGCCAUUAAUUACAUGCAGUGUCUUUUGCUUCUAGGCAUCUUAUCAUAACCCAGAUUUAUGGGUAUCAUUUUAGGAGAUAAUUGUGAACGAAAAGGAGCCAGCGAUUAUAUGAGAGAUUCUUGUUUGAGUGUUUACGAUGUUUUUCACCUCCCAAAUGAUUUCUUACCUCCUGCUAACAACCGGCACUGUUGGA